GGAUGCUUACACUGCAAGUCGAGUGCGCGUCUGUAGCCUACAGAUGGCGCACGGCGCACGGGUGCGUAACACGUGGGUAAUCUGCCCUUCGAAGGGGAAUAACUCGCCGAAAGGCGAGCUAAUUCCGCAUAACAUUCCGAGAACCUUGGUUUUUGGAUUCAAAGGCGUAAGUCGUCGGAGGAGGAGCCCGCGCACGAUUAGCUAGUUGGUAGGGUAACGGCCUACCAAGGCUAUGAUCGUUAGCUGGUCUGAGAGGAUGGCCAGCCACACUGGAACUGAGACACGGUCCAGACUCCUACGGGAGGCAGCAGUGGGGAAUCUUGCACAAUGGGCGAAAGCCUGAUGCAGCGACGCCGCGUGGGGGAUGAAGCUUCUCGGAGUGUAAACCCCUUUCGACCCGGACGAAUGCCCCGCAAGGGGACUGACGGUACGGGUAUAAGAAGCCCCGGCUAACUACGUGCCAGCAGCCGCGGUAAGACGUAGGGGGCCAGCGUUGCUCGGAAUUACUGGGUGUAAAGGGUUCGUAAGCGGUGUGGCAAGUCGGGAGUGAAAUCUCUAGGCUCAACCUAAAGUCUGCUUCCGAAACUGCUGUGCUUGAGUGUGGGAGAGGCGCGUGGAAUUGCAGGUGUAGCGGUGAAAUGCGUAAAUAUCUGCAGGAACACCCGUGGCGAAGGCGGCGCGCUGGAACACUACGGAAGCUGAGGAACGAAAGCUAGGGGAACCAAACGGGAUUAAUUCCCUGGGAGUCCUAGCCCUAAACGAUCAGGACUUGGGGUGCCACCCGUUCCGGGUGCCUCCCGGAACCAACGCCUUAAGUCCGGGGCCUGGGGGAUAAGGUCCGCAAACCGGAACUCAAGGGAUCUGGCGGGGGCCCCCCAAAACGGGGGAAAUUGGGGUC
rnacentral:rRNA from 1 species